GCGUUGAUGGUGUAGCGGUAGCACACGACUCUUCCAUCGCACCGACUGAUAAGUUGAGAUCCGGGUUCGACUCCCGGUCGACGCA
rfam:Trichophyton rubrum CBS 118892 genomic scaffold supercont2.3, whole genome shotgun sequence.